rnacentral:rRNA from 1 species
GAUGAACGCUGACAGAAUGCUUAACACAUGCAAGUCAACUUGAAUUUGGGUUUUUAACUUAGGUUUGGGUGGCGGACGGGUGAGUAACGCGUAAAGAACUUGCCUCACAGCUAGGGACAACAUUUGGAAACGAAUGCUAAUACCUAAUAUUAUGAUAAUAGGGCAUCCUAUAAUUAUGAAAGCUAUAAGCGCUGUGAGAGAGCUUUGCGUCCCAUUAGCUAGUUGGAGAGGUAACGGCUCACCAAGGCGAUGAUGGGUAGCCGGCCUGAGAGGGUGAUCGGCCACAAGGGGACUGAGACACGGCCCUUACUCCUACGGGAGGCAGCAGUGGGGAAUAUUGGACAAUGGACCAAGAGUCAGAUCCAGCAAUUCUGUGUGCACGAUGAAGUUUUUCGGAAUGUAAAGUGCUUUCAGUUGGGAAGAAAGAAAUGACGGUACCAACAGAAGAAGUGACGGCUAAAUACGUG